rnacentral:rRNA from 1 species
UACGGAGGGGGCUAGCGUUGUUCGGAAUUACUGGGCGUAAAGCGCACGUAGGCGGCUUUGUAAGUUAGAGGUGAAGGCCCGGGGCUCAACUCCGGAAUUGCCUUUAAGACUGCAUCGCUAGAAUUGUGGAGAGGUAAGUGGAAUUCCUGGUGUAGAGGUGAAAUUCGUAGAUAUCAGGAGGAACACCAGUGGCGAAGGCGGCUUCCUGGACACCAACUGACGCUGAGACGCGAAAGCGUGGGGAGCAAACAGG